rnacentral:guide_RNA from 1 species
AUAAUACAACAAGGAGCGUCAUAAGUAAAGUGAAUUCGUUAUAUGAUGU